rnacentral:misc_RNA from 1 species
UGUGGGAGCGGGCUUGCCCGCGAUUGCGGUGGGUCAGCCAGCCAAUGGGUUACUGAUAGGCUGCCAUCGCGGGCAAGCCCGCUCCCACA